rnacentral:rRNA from 1 species
UACGGAGGGGGCUAGUGUUGUUCGGAAUUACUGGGCGUAAAGGGCGCGCAGGCGGCUUGGCAAGUCGAGUGUGAAAUCCCUUGGCUUAACUAAGGAAUGGCGCUCGAAACUACCUCGCUAGAGGACGGGAGAGGGAAGUGGAACUCUCGGUGUAGGGGUGAAAUCUGUAGAUAUCGAGAGGAACACCGGUGGCGAAGGCGGCUUCCUGGCCCGUAGCUGACGCUGAGGCGCGAAAGCGUGGGUAGCAAACAGG